AAGGCCCUUGUUGUGACCAGCUCUGAGUGGUGAAGAGAAGUGAUGAGUCCCUGAAUUCUACUGCAGAAUGCAAUACUGCACUAUUAUCAAGGUAGAAG